AGGCAUUAACGUAUUUUAUUGUGUUCAGAAACAGUGAAAUACCAGCCUCUGAAGGGUUUUCCGGAGACCUCAUCUGAACUAGGCUAACAGCCGAACGAAAACGGAACAA
rnacentral:ncRNA from 1 species